rnacentral:rRNA from 1 species
GACGAACGCUGGCGGCGUGCCUAAUACAUGCAAGUAGAACGCUGAAGAGAGGAGCUUGCUCUUCUUGGAUGAGUUGCGAGCGGGUGAGUAACGCGUAGGUAACCUGCCUUGUAGCGGGGGAUAACUAUUGGAAACGAUAGCUAAUACCGCAUAACAAUGGAUGACACAUGUCAUUUAUUUGAAAGGGGCAAUUGCUCCACUACAAGAUGGACCUGCGUUGUAUUAGCUAGUAGGUGAGGUAACGGCUCACCUAGGCGACGAUACAUAGCCGACCUGAGAGGGUGAUCGGCCACACUGGGACUGAGACACGGCCCAGACUCCUACGGGAGGCAGCAGUAGGGAAUCUUCGGCAAUGGGGGCAACCCUGACCGAGCAACGCCGCGUGAGUGAAGAAGGUUUUCGGAUCGUAAAGCUCUGUUGUAAGUCAAGAACGAGUGUGAGAGUGGAAAGUUCACACUGUGACGGUAGCUUACCAGAAAGGGACGGCUAACUACGUGCCAGCAGCCGCGGUAAUACGUAGGUCCCGAGCGUUGUCCGGAUUUAUUGGGCGUAAAGCGAGCGCAGGCGGUUUGAUAAGUCUGAAGCUAAAGGCUGUGGCUCAACCAUAGUUCGCUUUGGAAACUGUCAAACUUGAGUGCAGAAGGGGAGAGUGGAAUUCCAUGUGUAGCGGUGAAAUGCGUAGAUAUAUGGAGGAACACCGGUGGCGAAAGCGGCUCUCUGGUCUGUAACUGACGCUGAGGCUCGAAAGCGUGGGGAGCGAACAGG